rnacentral:rRNA from 1 species
UACGUAGGUGGCAAGCGUUGUCCGGAUUUACUGGGCGUAAAGAGCGCGCAGGCGGUUUGUCGCGUCUGCUGUGAAAACGCGAGGCUCAACCUCGGGCCUGCAGUGGGUACGGGCAGACUAGAGUGCGGUAGGGGAGAAUGGAAUUCCUGGUGUAGCGGUGGAAUGCGUAGAUAUCUGGAAGAACACCAGUGGCGAAGGCGGUCAACUGGCCCGUAACUGACGCUGAGGCACGGAAAGCGU